GGAUCUCCAUGGCCUUCUGCAGGAACUGUUGCAUUGUAUUGCCUUUCUUCAUCUUUACAGUUCUCCGGUGUCCAGAGCCGUCCCAGUAACUAAAGCUCAUUUUACAAGAUAAAAGGGAUAUGCCCAGGAUCACACAUCCAAUGUCAUACAGAUGGCGAAAAAAAAAAUUGAAAAUAAGACAAGAGACUCAGACUUCAUCAAAAUGAGGAUUUAACCUUGAAGAUUAAAAGAUUUGAGAAGGAAAGGAAAGGUGGGAGAAGAUGAUGAAGAGAGUGAGGAAUUCAGAGAAAUAGAAAAACUUGCAUGAACACAGCAAACCAGGGGAGUAAUCUACACCAAAGCAUCUUAAACUUUUUCUAUUUGUGAUCCCUUUUUGCCCAAGAAAUCUUUAUGCAACCCCAGGCAACAGGGAGUUACUGAAGACAUUAAAGAAGAAGUGGAGUCUAUGCAUGGUCAAACCUGGACAUUAAGUAGAUUAUUCUGGGAGUGAUAUGAAGGAUGAAUUGUGAGAGAAGAGAAUCUAAAAAUAGGUAAAACAAUUUAGUCUGGGCAAGAGAUGAGGAGAGAGGUCCUGGGGAAAGGUGAUGCAAGUAAUAGGUAGAAAGAAGGGGACACAUUUGAGUGAUGUUGUAGAAUUAAACUCACCAGGACUUAAUAAUUUGUUUAGA